CAUUUAUCCAAAAUGCUACUAACUCGUAUAAGAGAUGAACUAGUGAUUUAUUAAAUACUGUGUUGCCUUCACUUGGAGAGAAUCUGAAUUUAAAAUGUGUUUUAGAAUCCAUUAAAUUCAUUUAAAUGCACAAUUCUGUGUUUACCUUAACUCUAUGAGUGCCAGAGUUAUUCUAAGGGUUAAAUCAAUUAGCUUUGGACCAGUGUUCCCAUUGGAUCUCUCUUUAGAAAAGCAGCAGACAAUAGUUUUAUGACCGUAGCAUACAAAUUAGCAGUGUCUGAUGUGGGAACUAUUGUUUAAC